AUGAAGUGUUUACAGGAGCUAAAAGAGUUCCAUGUUAAGAAAGAGGGUGUUGGCUUUGAAUUGAGAGAACUAGGGGAAUUGGGAGAGCUAGCAGGAGAGCUCUGUGUAUGUAAUCUUGAAACUGUGGCAUCCAAGGUGGAAGCUAGUGCUGCCAAAUUGAACAAUAAAAAGAAUCUGAAAGGACUAAAAUUACUCUGGAGUACAGAGCACCAGACCAUAAAUGAUGAUGUUCUUGAUGGUCUUCAACCACACCCUAAUCUUAGGGUGCUUGGCAUUAUAAAUCCUGGUGUUGCCCCUUGUCCUAGAUGGUUGUGUGGUGACAUUAGCAUAAAAGGGUUGGAGGAUCUCCAUCUGGAGGGUGUAUCUUGGGGAACUCUUCCAGUUUUUGAGCAGGUACCACACCUCAGUAGUCUCACUUUGAAAAAUAUUGCUGGGCUGAGUGUGUUCGGGCCUGGCUUUAGUGGUGUUACAGAAAGAAGCUUCAUGCACCUGAAGAAACUUCAGUUUGAGAAUAUGCCAGAGCUUGAGAAGUGGGUCGGGGAACCUAAUAGCCGUCUAUUUUCAAGGCUUGAAAGCAUCAAGAUUGGAGGUUGUCCCAUUCUCAGCUUGUUUCCCUUCUUGGAGUGCUCUGACCUAUUUACCAACCUGUGUAGUCUUCAUAUUGAUAACUGCCCCGAGUUGUCUCAGUUCCCACCCAUGCCUCACACCUCCACACUAACAAAUAUUCGUGUGGAAAAUGGUGGGUCAGAGCUAUUAUAUGAUGGUAAACAAUUGAUCAUUGAUGGGUAUGCUAGUGCUUUGGCCUUCCACAAUAUGGAUAAAGUAGAGGUUAUGCAAAUUACAGAUGUGUCACACAUUUCAUUUUCAGACCUCCAAAAACUAAAUUCGUUGAGAAAUAUACAUUUCAUGAAAUGUAGUGACAUGUUUUCUGCAGAAAUGGCUGAUAAUGUUAUCCUCCGUUCAGUUCAGAAUCUUUGUAUUCUUCCCCUCAAGCUAACCAUGGGCAUUCGGGUACUAAAAACUGAACCCAAACCGUCCUGA
rnacentral:rRNA from 1 species